UCUCCGAUCCCUUUCCUAAACCCUAUUACCUUUAAUUAAUAGAUCUCUACUUUAGAUCUUCAAUCUCCUCUCCCGUUCAUCAUCAUCAUCAAUCCUAAUCGGAUCUCUCCCGUUGCAUUAAUCAAAGCUAUCAUUGGACCUCUAAUACGUUCGUAUCUCCUAAUCGGAUCUCUCAACUGUAAGACUACGAUUAUACUAAUCGACGAUGAACAACUAUCGGUUUUUCUAAUGAUUUCAUCCAUUGGCAUUAUAGAUGAAAUCUCGGAAUUUAGGGUUUCAAAUCCUAAUCCUGCCAUUUCAUAAACAAUCGGUUGUUCGAUUUAGACUCGUUUUUGGUUGGUUUUGUUUCAACCCUAGGUCAAUUACCAAACAAACUCGUCUUUCUACUAGAAAGCCCAAAACAGUGGAAUUCUACGGAGUUCGCCCAACGGCAAUAGACGGCGACGCACUUCCGCUUAUAGAAGAGUUUCUAUCCGGAAUUCAAGGGUUUCUUUCUGUCAGAUUUGAAAAAUGACAGUUAAGGCCUUGAAGGCAAGUGAUUGACACUUUAUCUUGAAGGUGCUUUUGAUGUAUUUUACAGCCACCCACAGGUUAGAUCGUAUGCAUAUUCUAGACAUGUGGAAGAACUAUACAAAAGAUACAAAGGCAAGUUUAUGUUUCAUGCCUUUUAUCCAUUUGCUCGAAAAUGUUCAAAUUAUCGAGUGUUUACAUUGUGGAUGCACCAUUUGAGACUGUUUCAGCAAUAGAAAGUUGAUACUAUGCAUAUCACAUGUUUGAGAAAAUGCUAUGUGACUAACCUGUGUUAUUACUUAUUAAGAAUGGUUUGUACACGUAUCUUGAGAAAAUUAAUAAAUGGGUUUUCAUUCUUAUAUUUAGACUAAUAUUGUAUGUAGAUUCUUAUUAAAUUAUUAAACCAGGUGAAACUCAUGAGAUUCCAUGUAUUUGAGAUAAAUUGCUUAAUUUGAGCUUAUGUAACUGUUAUUUUUUUUUAAUUGUUGUGGAGUAUGUCACUAAUAUGGUGCAUAAAGCUCAAGAUACUGCUACUAAAAGAGGAAAACUUCUCAUAGAAGAUUUUAUGUUUUUAAUCCGAAAGGUUGUAGAAAAAAUUCGAAUAGAUGAGCGUGUAUCCAUAAUAGAUAAGACAAAUUUAAGAUAUCUUCCCAGGCUUCCAAAAAAGUUGAUUUGGUGAUUU